AUUGAACGCUGGCGGCAUGCUUUACACAUGCAAGUCGAACGGGCUUAGGGGCUUGCUCCUAAGUUAGUGGCGAACGGGUGAGUAAUGCAUCGGAACGUACCGUGUAGUGGGGGAUAACCCGGCGAAAGUCGGAUUAAUACCGCAUACGAUCUAAGGAUGAAAGCAGGGGAUCGCAAGACCUUGCGCUAUACGAGCGGCCGAUGUCGGAUUAGCUAGUUGGUAGGGUAAAGGCCUACCAAGGCAACGAUCCGUAGCGGGUCUGAGAGGAUGAUCCGCCACACUGGGACUGAGACACGGCCCAGACUCCUACGGGAGGCAGCAGUGGGGAAUUUUGGACAAUGGGCGAAAGCCUGAUCCAGCCAUGCCGCGUGAGUGAAGAAGGCCUUCGGGUUGUAAAGCUCUUUUGUCCGGGAGCAAAUCCUGUUCACUAAUACUGAGCGGGGCUGAGAGUACCGGAAGAAUAAGCACCGGCUAACUACGUGCCAGCAGCCGCAGUAACAC
rnacentral:rRNA from 1 species